AACAUAUUAGAAUAUCACAAGUACUUUCUGAUGCCGAGGCUUGGUUGUCUGUCCGACCCAUGUGUAAAUAAUUUGAGGAUGUUGAUUAAGGAAUACCGAGUCACACUACCCCUCACUGUGGAGGAGUAUCAAGUAGCACAGUUGUACUCAGUAGCAGAAGCAAGUAAGAAUGAGACAGGAGGUGGCGAAGGAAUUGAGGUGCUCAAGAAUGAACCAUUUGAAGACCACCCACUUUUGGGAGGAAAAUAUCGGAAGGGACAGUACACUUACAAGAUUUACCACCUUGCAAGUAAAGUUCCAUCAUUCAUAAGGCUACUUGCCCCAAGAGGCUCUCUAGAAGUGCAUGAGGAGGCGUGGAAUGCAUACCCCUAUUGUAAAACAGUUAUAUCGAAUCCGUAUAUGAAGGAGAAAUUUGUUUUGGUCAUAGAGUCACUCCAUGUGGCUGACAAUGGACAGCAGGAUAAUAAUCCCGGUUAUAUGAAAGAAAAUUUCUUCAUUAUGAUAGAAUCAUUACAUUUAGCAGAUACAGGAAUGCAGCAAAAUGUACAUGAGCUACCACCAGAAAAGCUGAGAAAUCGAGAUGUGGUCCACAUAGAUAUUGCUAAUGAUUCUGUAACUGCAGCUGAUUAUAAACCUGAUGAAGACCCAACAAAGUUCAAAAGUGAGAAGACAGGACGAGGACCUCUUAGAGGACAGUGGAUGGAUAAGGUGAAACCAGUCAUGACAUGCUACAAAUUAGUAACUGUUGAAUUCAAGUGGUUUGGUCUCCAGACAAAGAUAGAACAUUUCAUCCAAAAAUCAGAGCGACGCCUCUUCACAAAUUUUCAUAGGCAGGUGUUCUGCUGGAUAGACCGCUGGCACGGUCUCACCAUGGAGGAUAUUCGAGCCAUUGAGGAGAAAACAAAAGAAGAAUUGGAUAAGGUGUACGCACAGAUGCGGGAAGGCCAGAUGGUUUCCUCUUCAUCACAGACCCUGUUUUCCUAAAUGCAUCAACCCACCUGAGUAUUGUGUUAUGAUCGGGGAUGUUUACGGAAAAGGCGCUGAACGGCAAUUACGGAUUCACCACUUUUGAUACAAUUUUCAACGACAAACACCCGAUGUUCGCGGGUCCACGGUGCCAUGGCUACUGAAACUGCAUCAUCUAAGGUGUCUACUAGCAAGGGGCGGAAAUCCCCCACCCUCCUCCUUGCCGAGUACUAGCCAUUCGAAAAACAUGCGUUUCUUCUGCCGCACCCUUUACAAGAUGUUUCCAACGCAUGAUUGGCGAGGUCCGGGGCAUGAAGGCUGAAACGGAAUGAAGAGGAUGCUCACACUGCCCCUUCUUCCAACUUGCCCGUUGCUUGCAUCACAUGCCAUAUUUCAAACUGUGGCAUUUGCUGUUAGCCAGUACAAUAAAUGAUUUAGUUUAAAACACAAAAUACUUUUAUGUCCGCUACAUUAGAAGCAUCCCCUUUUUAAUUGCUUAAAACAAUUUAAUUACAGUUCGAUUACUUUCCAAACCUCUGUUGGGUUUUGUUUAGCAAGGAAGGAAGGUAAUUCCUGUCAGUGAAUUGAGACGAAGCAGGGCAUGCAUGCUCACUGGGAGAAGAGCAAUUUUUUCUUGUAUGUUUCUACGCUUUUGACUGGGUUUUUGUGUGUUUGGUUAUGAAAGUGAAAAAGGUUUCCUACGUUUUUUGUCACUUCCCUGUCCUCAAGGCAGAAAUAGACAUAGGCAUUAAAUGUCUGGACAAGAGGUGAUCCCAACUGCCCAUUUUCAAAAUUCUUAUGUACUUACACAAUUUGUAUUUUGGUAGUGGGCAGAGAGUACUAUUAACAUUGUGCUGAAAAAAAAUUCUCAUGUUUUGUGGUUUCAUGAAAGUUGAUAUAUUCAUGAAUUUGUAAUUUCGUACUUUGAUUUCUUUAGAAUAAAUUUAUACACAUAAUUAUAUAUAUAUAUAUUUAUAUAUUGUUAUUGAGUAUAAUUGUUGCACUUUUUUAAUCUCUCAUGAAUCCAUGAUCUUGUAGCAAUAACUGAAAACCCAUUUUGGAGAGAGGAGUUUUAAUUAGACUGCAUUUGAGAGAUACAGUUACACAGAAGAAUUAUGACAUCACUGUCCUUUGUUGUUCAUGUUUAAAGUAACAUUGUUUGUAUUUUAUAAGUAUUGCCUACAUUUGUUAUUAUAUUGGCCUGAUUUUAGAAGAGAAUAUGCUUGCCAUUUCAACGCAAGCUUCAAGAAUUAAGUGUUAUGAACAGAACACUUUUUGCUGUAUCACGUCAAUAUUAGGCAGUCUUUGUUAUGUAAGAUUUGAGGUUUUCAC